GCCUUCAUGGUGUAGUGGUCAGCACACUAGACGCGUAUUCGAGAAGUCCGUGGUUCGAGUCCUGGCGAGGGCA
rnacentral:tRNA from 1 species